GAAACGGCCUGCAGCUCGCUGUCUCAGCCUUUGCCCUGCCAGUCUUCCGUUUUUCGUAGCACCUCCGCUACGCAUUCUCAGACAUCGCCAGCGCUCGCUAAAGGUGUCGCAAGGGACUCGGCGGCGAAGGAAAAAGAGAUGCGCUACCACACACGAGCGUGUGAGCUACUCCAAGGAGAUCUGUCCUCGUGCCGACAGCCAUGUGAUGCUCCAUAAACGAAUGGCGGGAAUAAUCACUGGCUUGCCGCGGUGAAGCACCACUGCCUUCUCCUCCCCCGUCUUCGCCGAAGACGGGCGCGUCACCUUACCCGGUCAAACGUGCGGAGCUGACGUUACAUCCUUGGAUGGACGUUAAAAGGCCGAAGUCUCUUGCUCAGGCAGAGCCAAGACGGCAAAGAACCGCGGCGCUUUCCCCCUCGUAUCGCCGAUCGCGGUAUGUCCCCUUUUUGCGCUGAAGACAAAAAGGCCGAGCGCGCCCAAACUGUCGGCUCUGUCGCCAUACGGGGCUGCAGGGGGCGAAAGACUGGGGCCCUUCAACUGGAACGCUUUCCCGGACACCCCCGGGGGGGGGGGGUCACAAAGCCGCCUUUUGGUGGAUUCGUGCGGCGAUUGUAAAUUUUCCCCGCACCCACCCCCGACCUGGCCGCCCCAACGGCAGGUUAAAAGCCCUCCUCCCCCCACAGGGCAUAGCGGGAACCGAGGGCGGCGCCGGCGGCGGCAUUUAAUUCCCCGCCCACCAGGCCAAAGCGAAGGGGCUGUUGUAAGGCCGCGGUUGCGCUGGGGCAGUGCGCGAUGCUAGCGGCGAGAACGCCACCGCGCCUGACAGAGCCAACGCAGACCCGAGUUUCCACCAAGCCGUCCAUUGUGGCAGUGGGCUGCUUUGCCGCCGCGGCGGGCCGUGGGGGGGGAGCGGCGGAGGAAAACAUGCAGACCAGAAACCCGGGGAGACGACGCAAGCCCGAAGACGACCGCGAAAGACAAAGCCCAACGAGACCCAGCGCCAAGAAGUGGCCCCAAGCGCCCAAGCCAGUUUCCCAGCCAGGAUGGGAAUGGGGGCGCUCGAAGGCGGUGACUCUGCCGCCGGCAAGGCUUCGAACGUGGAAAUCGACCGGGUCGCACAGCACUACUUUGCGGCCCCCGCCAUGCUGGGGCGCGAAACCCUCCCCGUCCUAACCACAUUGACGGCCAAGGAGGUCGAACAGCGGGCCGGCAAAACACACCUGCUUUGUUUCCAACUGUUUCUGCACUGACCCCCCGGAUCGCGGGCGUCUGAAAGGGAUUUCGCCAUGGGAGGGCACCGCCGCACGUGCGAGACUCGGCGCCGCCAAAGUCUUUGCAUGAAAACCCGCCCCGAGCGAUCACAGCACGGCCCACACAUACAUAUGAGGCGUGCACUAGGCAACAGAGGGUGCAGCGACCACCGCUGGCUCACUCACUGGUGGCCACCUUCGCAGCGAGACAUUAAAAGCCGACAGAAGGUCGCCACGCACAGCACUGCCAACGAGACCUCGCGGACACCUGGCAGAGGGGGGGGAAGCGAAAGCCUGGAUCCAUCACAAAGAGUUUUUUUUUUCGGCGCCCAACGAAGGGCAAUGCGGAGAGGGACGACGCGCACCACCCCGACGCUGACGAAGGCGAUGCACGGCGGAGGAAACCUCGAUGAGCGCCCCGCGGGCUCACCCGCACAUGUGCUGAUGGGCACACUCAUCGCAGCGGAAGAAAGGGUGGGGGUGAGAGGGCUGAUAUUCGUGGCGGGGGCGCGCACCAUCCUUCAACGCAUCAAGGUUGCCAAUCGUUCGAUGGCACCAGGCAAGGAAGCAGGGCUGAUGAAAACGGGCGACGAACUCCUUCGCCUUGGCCUGGUGGGAGCAGACAUUCCUUGACAAGCGCUGCUGGUGGGGCGGGGCGCAGCGCUUGGUGUCCAACCCCAAGACGAUAGCGAAGCUGUCUUUGGCGACGGAAACGCGCAACGUUUGCCUGCCGCGCUUUUAUGCCCCCGCCGCCUCUUGGAGCGGGCGCCGUUCGCACGGAACGGCCCAGCACGGCUCGGUCCCUCCAUCCUCCGCGAGCGCGCGGCGUUUCGUGCUGCCUCGUGGUCGGCGUAAGGGGGUGGGGCCUCCGCGCCCCACCCGCUUUGGCCCUCCGCCCAUCCCCACGGAGGCGAAGGGGGGGAACCGCCCCUCGCCCGAACCCCCAAACGCGCCCCGCACGCCCCGCCGGGCCGCGGCGCGGGCCCGCUGGCGGCAGGGAUCCCGCGCGCCACCGCGCCGCAGGUUCGCCAGCGGGCAGCCCCCCACGCGCGGCCACAAGCGCGCCCUUAGCAAACCUAUGUGGCGCCCGACGGAUGUGGUCAAAGGCGUCACCGCCUCCGAGCCCAGUCCCGCGAUCGUCUCGGGGCAGCAUCGCAGUGCCUCGCCGAGCGUUGGCAGCUGGAAGGUGCAGCAAGGGUCAAUGAGCCAGACAGCGUCCUCAGCGCGCAGGUCGCGGCUGGCGACGAGGUGGCAGCGCCGAUAACUCUGAGCUGGCGUCCGUGUUGCAGCCUCAUCCGCUGCCUCGGCACGGCUCUUGUCGCCGUUAUCGCUAGCAGACCCACUCGGCGCCUGCGGCUACCGCGCCGAUACAAAGAACUAUGACCGCAGUCGAACCCGCUUCCCCGGAUCUUUCGUGGAGGCAUCAAUGCAGGCGCUCUGGCAUGCCGUUCGCCGCCAGUAAGCCACGUGGCGCUUCCUCGAAUUCGUCGAAGGUCUGUGUGGCAUCGUGCGCAACCCGGAAUGCAAGGCCAGGGACGCAGCGCGAUUGUGUGGGUGUCGUUUGUGUAUAUGUGUGUGUGUGUGCUCAGGUGAUCUCUUCGCUUCCUUUGGUGGCUUUGCGUCCCGUCCUACCCCCCACCCCACCAACAAAAAAAAAAUAAUAAACGCAG
rnacentral:misc_RNA from 1 species